CCUANGGGUGGCAGCAGUGGGGAAUCUUGCGCAAUGGGGGAAACCCUGACGCAGCAACGCCGCGUGGGUGAUGAAGGCCUUCGGGUCGUAAAGCCCUGUCAGGUGGAAAGAAACUUGUUGAUGCCAAUACCAUCAACACUUGACGGUACCACCGGAGGAAGCACCGGCUAACUCCGUGCCAGCAGCCGCGGUAAUACGGAGGGUGCAAGCGUUGUUCGGAAUUAUUGGGCGUAAAGCGCGUGUAGGCGGUUAUGUAAGUCAGAUGUGAAAGCCUUCCGCUUAACGGAAGAAGUGCAUUUGAAACUGCAUGACUAGAGUACGGGAGAGGAGAGUGGAAUUCCCGGUGUAGAGGUGAAAUUCGUAGAUAUCGGGAGGAACACCAGUGGCGAAGGCGGCUCUCUGGCCUAAUACUGACGCUGAGACGCGAAAGCGUGGGGAGCAAACAGGAUUAGAUACCCCGNUANUC
rnacentral:rRNA from 1 species